GACGAACGCUGGCGGCGUGCUUAACACAUGCAAGUCGAACGGACUACUUUGCUUCGGUAAGGUGGUUAGUGGCGAACGGGUGAGUAACGCGUAGACAACCUACCUCUUAGAUGGGGACAACAUCGCGAAAGCGGUGCUAAUACCGAAUGAAGUGACUUUCCUGCAUGGGAGAGAUACUAAAGGUGGCCUCUAUUUAUAAGCUACCACUGAGAGAUGGGUCUGCGUCUGAUUAGCUAGUUGGCGGGGUAACGGCCCACCAAGGCGACGAUCAGUAGCCGGUCUGAGAGGAUGAACGGCCACAUUGGGACUGAGACACGGCCCAAACUCCUACGGGAGGCAGCAGUGGGGAAUCUUCCGCAAUGGACGAGAGUCUGACGGAGCAACGCCGCGUGAGUGAAGAAGGUUUUCGGAUCGUAAAGCUCUGUUGUUUGAGACGAAUGUGCCUGUUUCAAAUAGGGAUAGGUAAUGACGGUAUUAAACGAGAAAGCCACGGCUAACUACGUGCCAGCAGCCGCCGUAA
rnacentral:rRNA from 1 species